CCUACGGGUGGCUGCAGUGGGGAAUAUUGGGCAAUGGGCGCAAGCCUGACCCAGCAACGCCGCGUGAAGGAAGAAGGCUUUCGGGUUGUAAACUUCUUUUCUCAGGGACGAAGAAAGUGACGGUACCUGAUGAAUAAGCCACGGCUAACUACGUGCCAGCAGCCGCGGUAAUACGUAGGUGGCAAGCGUUAUCCGGAUUUACUGGGUGUAAAGGGCGUGUAGGCGGGAAAGCAAGUCAGAUGUGAAAACCAUGGGCUAAACCUGUGGCCUGCAUUUGAAACUGUUUUUCUUGAGUACUGGAGAGGCAGACGGAAUGCCUAGUGUAGCGGGGAAAUGCGUAGAGAUUAGGAGGAACACCAGUGGCGAAGGCGGUCUGCGGGACAGCAACUGACGCUGAGGCGCGAAAGCGUGGGGAGCAAACAGGAUUAGAUACCCUUGUAGUC
rnacentral:rRNA from 1 species